GAACGCGAAGAACCUUACCAGGUCUUGACAUCCCUCUGACCGCCCUAGAGAUAGAGUUUUCCUUCGGGACAGAGGUGACAGGUGGCGCAUGGUUGUCGCCAGCUCGUGUCGUGAGAUGUUGGGUUAAGUCCCGCAACGAGCGCAACCCCUAUUGUUAGUUGCCAUCAUUCAGUUGGGCACUCUAGCGAGACUGCCGGUAAUAAACCGGAGGAAGGUGGGGAUGACGUCAAAUCAUCAUGCCCCUUAUGACCUGGGCUACACACGUGCUACAAUGGCUGGUACAACGAGUCGCAAGCCGGUGACGGCAAGCUAAUCUCUUAAAGCCAGUCUCAGUUCGGAUUGUAGGCUGCAACUCGCCUACAUGAAGUCGGAAUCGCUAGUAAUCGCGGAUCAGCACGCCGCGGUGAAUACGUUCCCGGGUCUUGUACACACC
rnacentral:rRNA from 1 species